rnacentral:rRNA from 1 species
UACAGAGGGUGCGAGCGUUAAUCGGAGUUACUGGGCGUAAAGGGCGCGUAGGCGGUUAAUUGGGUGUGAUGUGAAAGCCCUGGGCUUAACCUGGGAAGUGCAUCGCAAACUGGAUAACUGGAGUGCAGGAGAGGGUGGCGGAAUUUCCGGUGUAGCGGUGAAAUGCGUAGAGAUCGGAAGGAACGUCAAUGGCGAAGGCAGCCACCUGGCCUGAGACUGACGCUGAGGCGCGAGAGCGUGGGUAGCGAACAGG